GACGAACGCUGGCGGCGUGCUUAACACAUGCAAGUCGAACGGAAAGGCCCUGCUUUUGUGGGGUGCUCGAGUGGCGAACGGGUGAGUAACACGUGAGUAACCUGCCCUUGACUUUGGGAUAACUUCAGGAAACUGGGGCUAAUACCGUAUAGGAGCUCCUGCUGCAUGGUGGGGGUUGGAAAGUUUCGGCGGUUGGGGAUGGACUCGCGGCUUAUCAGCUUGUUGGUGGGGUAGUGGCUUACCAAGGCUUUGGAGGGUAGCCGGCCUGUGAGGGUGACCGGCCACAAUGGGACUGAGGUACGGACCAGACUCCUACGGGAGGCAGCAGUGGCGAAUCUUGCACAAUGAGCGGAAGCCUGAUGCAGCAACGCCGGGUGCGGGAUGACGGCCUUCGGGUUGUAAACCGCUUUCGCCUGUGACGAAGCGUGAGUGACGGUAAUGAAUAAAGAAGCACCGGCUAACUACGUG
rnacentral:rRNA from 1 species